CUUGGUGGUUUUAGCAAGACUGUACCACCCGUUCCCAUCUCGAACACGGCAGUGAAACGUUUUAGCGCCUUCGAUACUGCUCCCGCAAGGGUGUGGGAAAAGAGGUCACCGCCAGGG
rnacentral:rRNA from 1 species